rnacentral:rRNA from 1 species
AGGUGCGAUCAUACCAGCGUUAAUGCACAGGAUCCCAUCAGAACUCUGCAGUUAAGCGCGCUUGGGCUAGAGUAGUACUGGGAUGGGUGACCUCUUGGGAAGUUCUAGUGUUGCACCCU